rnacentral:rRNA from 1 species
UACGGAGGGUGCGAGCGUUGUCCGGAAUCACUGGGCGUAAAGGGCGCGUAGGUGGCGCGGGAAGUCAACGGUGAAAGUUCGGGGCUCAACCCUGAAUCGGCCGUCGAUACUCCCGGGCUCGAGCACUGUAGAGGCAGAUGGAAUUCCGGGUGUAGCGGUGGAAUGCGUAGAGAUCCGGAAGAACACCGGUGGCGAAGGCGGUCUGCUGG